AUGAGGAAUAUUGAGCAUCUUCUUCUCCAGGUUCCGGCAGCCAAGGUCGGGGAAGGGCGGGUCCGCGCGCGGGUCCCGCGCAAACCCGGAGAUCCCAGAGCCCGGGCGGGGGAGGUCUGCACCCGCGAGGGCGCCGCCGGGCCUCGCGAAGCCGCCGCGGCCGGCAGAGGGCGCCCGGGCCCGCCGAGCUCGCGGUGCUGGUCGGGGCGCUCCCGCGCGCGGGGCGCAGGCGGCAGGUCCGCGGUGGCCGAGGCGCGCGAGGAGCCCGCCGCCCGGGCGGAGCUGGACGUUUGGAGAGCUGCCGUGGAGCUGGGGCUUGGAGGAGUGAGGCAUGUAUUUUCAGCUGCACCUUCUAAAGGGGAGACUCUGUCACCACCAGAGAGGCAACAGCUCCCAAAUAUGACUACAGAUGACUAGAUCCACAGAGGCCUGGGAGUCUGGAUUGAUAGUUUAGAAUAUGCUAAAAAGCCAGGGCUUUCCACAGAGAAUUGAAGGGGCAGCUGGUCAACACGACAGCGACCUGGAGCAAGGGAGUCAGAAGACAGUUGUAGCAAGCAAGACGGACCUUCCGAGGGGCUGACUUGGGUCGCUGAGGGCAGGCUCCUGCCACGCAAGCUGUUGCAGCCCUGUGAUGGUGAGGUCCUCCACCCAGGGGAGCGAGUGGGGCUGUGCAAGGGGGCUGCCUGGUGAGUGAGAACUCCUGCAGGUCUGCCUGCCCCCUAAUCCCUGCUUAGGAACUGGAGGGUGUCAGAGCCCCCU
rnacentral:lncRNA from 12 species